CUCUCACUGUGCUGCUGCCGAAAAACAAAAAACUACCAGAUCCGCCGCUAACCACCACACAAAGAGGUUGUGUCGUCGGAAAAAUUGGCCAAUAAGGUGGUGCAGAUGGCCAAUCACCACCAUCACACCACCACCAUUAGUUUCUACAUCUUUGAAAUAAAAGGAUUUAGAUUAAGGGGAGGAAGAAAGACUAGGGAGCGAGAUUGAGAUUUACCGUUAGAGAGAGGUGGAAGUGUUUUUCUUGUAGAG
rnacentral:lncRNA from 1 species